rnacentral:lncRNA from 1 species
UUCACUGAGUUCAUUAACUGAAGAAAGCGUGCGUGCGUAUAUGUGUGUUCUUGUAAUGUGGCACAAUUUAUACCGUUUUAUAUCCCUGAAUUAUAUUUUCUUCUCAAUUUUGCUGCUCUCUAUUUCUUUUUUUUUUUUUUUUUUUUUUUUUUUUUGCAAGUAGGUUCUGAAGACAUUGUGCUCAACAGUGGGAUUAUUUUUCUUUCCAUAGUAGAAAAGGUGGAAACAUCUCUUAACCUCUGUCUCUCUCUCUUAGGGUCAGAAGGAUGUGGUGGAUGCCAUUUGCCAGCAGUAGUGAUGACUUCCUUGGGCUCAUAGGACUGCGCACAGAACGCACUUCUAUUUCAACAUCACUAAGAGAGUUUAAUGGAAUGACCCCAAAAAUUCAGCUGGGGAUUUCCUCACCUUCCUUCUUUGGGGGCCCCAUCAUUAGCAAGGUCACUGGGACUUCAGGAAACCUCUGAGGCUACAUGGGAUUUAACUUGUUUCACCCUGCACUUUUGGUUCUGCAUAAACUUUGUAAUUAUAUUUUUUCUUUCUUAUUUUGAAUGGAUUUUUGCAAUAUAUUGCUGUACUUUCAAUAUAAACAAAGUAUUAGUACUUAAUUUGUGCAGAUUCUUAUCCAAUAAUCGGCAGAGCUGUC